UCCACAGAUAUCCAUGAUGGUUUUCAGUCGCUGACAUGCGUCUGGAAUGAAAAGGGAAUACGGUGAGGACGCGCUGAAAAGCACCGAAUCCGUAACUGCCCCCGCAACUGUGAGCGGCGAGUGACCCCGAUGAACACCACUGAGCCGAAUGAGGCUUGGGAAGGUUCGGGCGAGCAAUGACCCGCAAGUCAGUAGACCUGCCAUCUCGCGACAUAUCUU
rnacentral:ncRNA from 1 species